CAGCAAUCUCAGGCCUAGUUCUGAUGACUAUCCCUGUGGAUAGGGACAGCAUCAUAGAGCAAGAUGUGAAGAGGAGUCCAGUUCAGAGGGAGCAGGUGUACUAUGAGCUCAGUCUGCAGGUGGCAGGACCCCAGAAGCAGGUGAAGAAACUGAGGUACAGAGAGCUUAAGAACCUUGUGAUGGGCUUCAGGACAUUGCUGCCCCCAAAUAUGGCACCUUGAUAUAUUGAAUGUUUCAAGCUGAAGGAACUUGAGAAAAUGGCAGAUGCAGGAACUUAUAUUUGUCAGCUUUGCAAGUGGGGCUCAGUUUCGGGGAAGGGGUGAGAGAGAAGAAAGGAAGAAACUGAUGAAGAGAAUGAAAGAGGAAAAGACCUGCCUGACACCUGGAUCUUAGAAACAAACCUUUCCUAACAACAGACCUCCAAGCAUAAAGAGAGUAUUUUCAAACAACUCAAAAAAUCAGUCUAAAUCAACGAUAUUCAAAAGGACAAAGAAAAAAAUAAUAGGGGAUUAUGUUCUUUUCUCAUCUGUCUUAUGUUCUGAAGUUAUUCAUUUGACACCUUCUGCUCUUGUACGAUGGCAGGCCUGUAUUCCCAAAGAUGCCCAUUCCAGCCAUCUAUUGCUGUGUAACAAAUGACGACAAUGUAUGAUGGUUUAAAAUCACAACUAUUUUAUUUCAUCUCUCAAUAUUGUGGGUCAGAGUUCAGGCUUGGUGAAGUGAUUCAUCUGCUCCAUAUGGCUUGAACAGUGGUCUCAGAGUGGUAUUCUGCUGGUGAGUUGGCUGGUUUCAAGGGUCUAAGUGAAGUUUAGAGGCUUCACUCACAUGUCUGCACCUUGGCAGGGAUGGCUUCAAAGAUGGGGUCCACUGGGACUGGCGACUGGAGCCCACACCUGGCCUCUCCACUCAGACUUCUGACAGUAAGCAA
rnacentral:lncRNA from 1 species